rnacentral:lncRNA from 1 species
GAUUAGUUCAAAUGAUGAAUCGAAGCUUAGUAUCAGCUUAAGCUCCAAUUUCGAAAACCAACGAAGAAAAGCGAAUGAAUAAUAAAACAAAAAUGAGCUCAUUCAACUAAAACGAAAAAAAUAGCAAACAUACUGAUAUUCUGGAAACCUGUAACUGUCUACAUUCAACGGAGAUUCAGGGGUAACUUCGGAGGAUCUGUUGCUGGCAUUUAGAAGUUCUGAUCGCCUCCAUAUACACAUUCGUAGGACAAUAUAACGUCGAAUAUAUAAAAGAGAGCCUGCCAGCACAAUUAAUAUUGCCAAAAUUGGAAGUCAAGUGUAUAUUAGACGGGUCGAGAAAACACAAUCAUGAAAAGUGAUUUGGACGAGUUUCACACGUGCGCUCACAAGGUUUGCGGCAUUGACAUAUGAGAUUCUCUGCCUAACGUAUCGUCAUGCCAUGUCCGGGUUAACUAACUCUUCACACUCGCUGCGCUUCGUUAUUCAUUGCAUAUGUACAUCUCUAUAUCUAAUUGUAAUUAAUACUUUUUUUAAAUUAGAAUUA